AAAGCCAAGGAGUAAGGCUUUCCAAGCUUAUUUUCAAGCUUGUUAAUAAGGUUAGGAGCGGAGGGUGUUCUUCAAGACCAGAGGACAAGCAUCAGAGUAGAGAUCACAUUUUGGGUAGGAUAUUUUGUUAAAUGGUGAUUUUUGGCAUGUAUAUAAAGAUUGUAUUAUGAAGGUUGUAUAUAAUAAGUUUAUAAUAUAUUAAGAGUUAUGAUUAUUGAAGGAAAUAACAUCUUAUUAUAUUUUUGGUGUAUGAUGAUUAUAUAUUCCUUGAAAAGAACGUGUUUAGA